UACGAAGGGGGCUAGCGUUGUUCGGAAUCACUGGGCGUAAAGGGCGCGUAGGCGGCUUUAUAAGUCGGGGGUGAAAGCCUGUGGCUCAACCACAGAAUUGCCUUCGAUACUGUAUGGCUUGAGACCGGAAGAGGUAAGUGGAACUGCGAGUGUAGAGGUGAAAUUCGUAGAUAUUCGCAAGAACACCAGUGGCGAAGGCGGCAUCCUGGACCGGUAUUGACGCUGAGGCGCGAAAGCCAGGGGAGCAAACGGG
rnacentral:rRNA from 1 species